ensembl:lncRNA
AUAUUAUAUUAUUCAUCAUUCAUGACUACAUUGAAACUAGAAUAGAGAGAAAUCAGCGUGGAAACCUUGUGAAACCUAAACUGCAAGAGGUACCAUAGAUUGUUGUACAUGUAAAUAAUGGUAGUAACAAGAAAUUCUUGAUAGGAUUCAUAGUUUGUCUGGUUAUGCUGGUUUGUGAUGACAACUACUUUACAGUAUAUAAUAAAUGUUCAUUUUGUUGUUAUAAAUGUGAGCUCUUCUUCAUGGAAAAAUAAGACAUCCCCUGAAAAUAAGACCUAGUGCAUUUUUGGGAGCAAAAAUUAAUAUAAGACCCUGUCUUAUUUUCGGGGAAACAGGGUAUAUUUGUGUGGUGUAAAAGGGACCCCAUUCUAGAAGGGCCAUGCAAAUUUGCAAGGGGGGCAAGCCAUCCAUGUUGCUUCUGAAGGGUUAUGGAUGUGGGUGGUGGAUAAAGGCAAAGAGGACGGAAAGCUACCUUUCUUCCCCAGUGAAGAUCUUUUUCUAUUUCUGCAGUAUCGACUAUGGAGAUGGUCAGAUAACUCUGCCGUUGACUACUUACCCUGGGCAGCCAGCCAACCGUCCAACUGUAACAAAAAACAGAAUUGUGUUGAACUGUAUAGUAAAGACUACAUGUAUUUUAACGACGAAGACUGUGAGGUGAAGCAACCGUAUCUCUGCAAACUGUCAUUGUUUUGAUGAGGGAUCAGCACCCCACAGCCUCAAGAUGCUGAACACUAAGGAGACUAAGAACAUCUUCACAACUUCUUCCUUCUAUGGUGGCCUAGUUCCUUGUGUGCAUUCCAUCCUAAGAGUUAAAACUCCAUGGGAUGUCUCUCAAACUUUUUCUGGAGGGAGGAUGUUGAUGACAAUAAAUUGAUUCUUCUCCUAAUCGGCUCAUGUUUCUCUGAAUAUGUGGUCUUUGCUCCCUUCAAAGGGCUGUUACUUUACAAGAGUGGCAUUGCUAUCUUUCAUCUGAGCCCUUUUCUCUGCUCCUCCUUUUCCCAUUUCCUCCCCAAAUAGGACAUUUUGUGUUGUGAAGACCAUAAUCCUGUGGGUGUCUCUUAUGGAGGUGGUAAUAGUUGGAGGGAGGAUCUUGAUUGCCCAAGCAUUCAUCCUUUUUCAACCAAAUGCAGUGUCAUGACUCAGACAUGAUAACAGGAACUUAUGUUUUAUCACACCAUAGGAGAAUAAGCCAAAGUCAAAAGAGUCUGCUAACAGAAGAGCCCACAUUAUUAAGCCCUUAAAUUUCCAGCUGGAAUAUCAGAAGUACAAACCUCAAACAGAUCAGAGUGAGCCAAUGCCAUAUUCCAAAGUCAAUUAGAUAAAAUCAAGCAGGAGUGGCAACAAAGUCAAGUCAAGAACAAAUGGAAGCCAAGGUCACAAUCCAGGGUCAGAAAUGCCAUGAGUCAGAAACACAGCAGAGUCUGGUUCCAAGAUAAGAAACAUCAACAAUAGCCAAGACACAGUCCAGAGUCAGAAACACCAUUUGUCAGAGUCCGAAGAGUUCUUGAAAACAAGGCUAAGGUCAGAGUCCAGAAAUUGGAAAUACAGUAGAGUCUCAAUUAUCCAAGUCUCGCUUAUCCAAGCCUCUGGAUUAUCCAAGCCAUUUUUGUAGUCAAUGUUUUCAAUAUAUUGUGAUAUUUUGGUGCCAAAUUCGUAAAUACAGUAAUUACAACAUAACAUUACUGCGUACUGAACUACUUUUUCUGUCAAAUUUGUUGUAUCACAUGAUGUUUUGGUGCUUAAUUUGUAAAAUCACAACCUAAUUUGAUGUUUAAUAGGCUAUUCCUUAAUCCCUCCUUAUUAUCCAAGAUAUUCGCUUAUCCAAGCUUCUGCCGGCCCGUUUAGCUUGGAUAAGUGAGACUCUACUGUACCAUUAUUCAGUCUAGAGGUUAAAAGCCAGAAGUUCUUGAAAACUGAGGAGCAGCAGAGCCAGAUUACAGAGCAAGAAUAGAAUGUUGUCUGCUGCCCAGAGCCACUCCACCAAGUGGAGGUCUCAGCUGUUUGUUUCAUUAUCCGUUCACAGCCAAUGUUUGAGACUUGUGAUAUCCUCCCUGUUCCAGAGGAGGAGGCAUGAUCAGGAGCGGUUCAAUCGUUAGGCAAACUACGCGGUUACUGAAGGCUCCAUGAGUCGGAAGGGCGCAGCCUGCUUCCCUCCCCCUCCCUGGCUCCCCUGCCCUCUUUGCGCCCUCCGACCUCCUCCUC